UUUCUCAUUCUGGUUUAAUGCUAUUGAGAGAGGGCUACAAGUUCUGGUGUGAAAGAGAGAUGUAUAACACAAAGUACUAAAUCAUUUUUAUCCUGUACUGUUAAAAGCUUUUUAGAUUUAUUUACUCCCCACUGAGGUCACUGGGUGGUUUUCCAUUGAAUUCAAUAGCUUUUGGAUUAAGCUAAAAUGAAGGAAUGAAACAGUAGGACACUACAGCAGAUACAAAGAGCGGGACAGUACAUUAAAUGCAUGUGUUUUCUCAUCACAAUUGGUGUUUCAGGCUGUGUAAUCAGUGCCUCUCCCCAUAUAAUAACAAAAGAUUUCUGGGCCUAGAAAAGAUACAUUAUUUCACUGUUUUUUCUUCUAUUCAUUUAUUUUUAGGUGUAUCCAAAUAGCACAUGCCAAAAAGUGACACAAUUACUAUGUUUAUGUAAAUUCAGAUAAAUUAUUAAAAAAAAUAAAAUUCCUUGGUACUUUAAAAAAUAGUUACCUAGAUUUUCCAAAAUAUUUAGGUGCUUUCAAUAUGUAUUACAUCCUCAUAGGAAAUUGAAUGCCAGCAUGCAUGCAUAUAUUUAAACCAAAGCAAACAUCAGAAAAGUUUGCCUUGAUGGUAGUUCAUAUGUGUUAGUAUCUGCUAACAUUAGUCAUCUGCACAUUUAAGUUUUGUUAAAUGUACAAACUAUGUGACACUCCACCCUUGUUGCAACAUCGGCUUGCAACGUCCAGCACUUUUGUACUCCAAGGACUUACUGUCUUUCAGGGAAAGGGUCUGGGAUAUCUGCAUAGUGGGGAAAAAGAAAGGAAAGGGAAAAUAAUAAUUACAAUAUUUUGUAGACACUGAAGUAGCUUUGUCAAUGCAUAGAUUUUUAUUUCUUUAUUUAAAUUUACGGAAACAAAGUCAAGCCCUGAAAAAUUAAAAGCUAAUCAUGGUAUAUUUUUUAUAAAUUCACCCUUGUUGCAUAUGUUCUGCAUAAAAAAAAAUGUUUUACAUGGAUGAUCAAAUAAUACUCUUGUUUAAUAAGACUUCCUUCCAUUGGAGAGAUGGAUGGUGGUCCAAGGAUGACUGAGCUGUGAAGUGACAAGCAGAAGUGGUGCCUUCUGUCAACUCAUAAUAUCCAUUGAUUCAACCAUUCAUUCAAAGGAAAGGAACUAAAUGUUCUUGAGUACGUGUGAAAUGAGAAAGAACUUCUUGGUGCAAUAGCAUAAAAAUGUGCUCCAGAGCAGAGGGUAUAGAAAGAAAUUAACAUAAUUGAAAAUGUUUGGAAGGAAGAGAGAGGAAAGCUAAGAUGCAUCUCUGGGGAGUUAGUGCUGGGCCUGUGAGGCCUUUAGUUUGUUGUGAGUAGCUGUGAUAUAUUUUGCCUCAUUUCACUCCUAGAGGAAAUUCCAAAUCCUUAAAAACCCCACAACAGUCACAAAGCAUCAAAUAUUGAAAAUCUGAGAAAACUUGAUGCUUUCUGGGAUAUUUCUAGAUCCCACUUAAUUCGUGACUCAUGAUAGCAAUUAUCCUCUCCAUGCUAGGGGUACAGUAACUAAUUAAGUAGGCUCAUGAAAGCACCUUCAGAAUCUGGAAGGAAAGCAUAAUUGAUGUGAUUAUAUUCCUGUCAGGUUCUUCUGUCCAAAGCAAGCUUAAAACUGCUCAUGUCCACAAUUCAAAUGGAUAAAAAUCAAAUGCCUGGGAUUGGAAAUGGUUUAAUGCAGUUUAAUGUACCAUUCACUUUAAAAGAUAUUGUUCUUUAGAGGAGUCAUUCUUUAUAUUUUAUGAUGUUUGGAGGCAGACCUGUCUAAAAUUGAACUAUUUAAAUAUCACUUAUUAUGGGGGAAGACUGAUGGCUAUCUUGAUUCACAGCCUGCCAAGUUAAAGUAAGUUUGAGAUGCCGAACCUCCUGGAAACCACAGAAACUGCACAGCCUGAGUGAACCUGAAGGACAUCACCAACAAGAGCCUUGCUGGCACCCUCUCUUGAAGUCUUGCGUUCCUGAGACAGGAUGAUCAAAGCUCUCUCCCAUGCUCCUGAUAGUAAUUCAGCUGCUUUGGUAUCACACAUUUACAUCUUUCCUAUGUUUUUUUUUGUUGUUGUUGUUGCUGUUGCCGUUUCUUUUUUUUUUUUUUUUUUUUGUUUUGUUUCUUUGUUUUUCUUACAAUCUAGUAAACAGGAUUAUAGAAAAAGGACAAAAGAAAGAAUAAAAAAGGUGAAAAGAAGAAAAACAGAAGAGAAAAGAAUCUAAGCUUUCCCAGAGUAAAGACUACUAAUAGAAUUAAUUUAUUUGUACUGACAUUGAAUCAGUUAUGGACAAGAAUUUACUGAGUAAGGAGCUUACAUGUGUCUGAAAGAGUUGCCCAGUCACACCUUUCCCUGUUGAACUUCUCUGGAUGUGGUGCUGCAAGGAAUUUCUUUUUCACAUUGUGAGAAGACAGAAACUCACUACUUCACUCUGGAUGGAUCUAGUGAUUAAAGUCCUCCAUCUUCUCAAAGACAUUUGCUGACAUUUCAGUUGCUGAGGUGUAAAUGGGUAAGGGCAAGAAGCUCUCUUGAUUGGAAAGCAGAGAUGAUGUCCAAACACUUACUAAAAAAAAAAAAAAA
ensembl:lncRNA